UGUUCCCUCCCCCACAGCUCACAUUCUGGCUACCAACCUUCAUCUUCUCUCCCCCACCCCCCUUUCCCUUUCUAAUGUGGAUGAUGCUAUCUCCCCUCAUUUGAUAAUGUUAACUCUAGAAUUCUUAGUCCAUUCACGCAGUUGUGGGAAAACUGUCAUCCCACAUCAGCUUACCAAGUGUAUUCGUUUCCUAGGCUGCCAUAGCAAAUAACCACAAAUUCAAUGGCUUAAAACAAGAAUGAUUCCCUCACAGUUUGGGAGCUCAGAAGUCUGAAAUCCAGGUGUUGGCAGAGCCCUGUUCCCUCCAAAGGCUCUGGGGGACAGUGCACUGCAUGGCUCUUUGCAUCUUCUGGUGGCUCUGAGAAUUCCUUAGCUGAAGGCCACUUCAAUCUCUGUCUCCACGUUCCUGGUUCACAGUUCCUUGGAAUUUCCUGAGUGAUAAGAGCACUGGGAGCAUCUUUUGUCAUCAUAUUUGGUCUCUUGGCCUCAGUUCCUGAAAUUGCUUCAGAGCCGUAGAGGUAACAUACCAGCAUCGAGUACUUCCUGCGAGCCAGGCUCUCUGUAAAUAUUUUAGACGUGGAGUCUUGCUUAAUCUCAG